CAAAUUCAUCUAAAGCCAACUUUGCCUGAGGGAGUUGAAACCUUAGUUUCUUAAUAAUUUAUAAAUUUAUAAACGGACAAUUUUAGUAAAGUUUGUUAAAUCAUGUCAGUACCGAAAUACUGACUACCGAGCUGAUGAUACCCUCGGGGACUGAUAGUCCACCAGCAGAGGUAUCGACCCAGUGAUGUAAAAUAUUGAAAACAACACGUUAUUAAUUUCUUGCGUCCGAA
rnacentral:lncRNA from 1 species